rnacentral:rRNA from 1 species
CUCAGAGUGAACGCUGGCGGCGUGCCUAAUACAUGCAAGUCGAACGAUGAAGCUUUUAGCUUGCUAGAAGUGGAUUAGUGGCGCACGGGUGAGUAAGGUAUAGUUAAUCUGCCCUACACAAGAGGACAACAGUUGGAAACGACUGCUAAUACUCUAUACUCCUGCUUAACAUAAGUUGAGUAGGGAAAGUUUUUCGGUGUAGGAUGAGACUAUAUAGUAUCAGCUAGUUGGUAAGGUAAUGGCUUACCAAGGCUAUGACGCUUAACUGGUCUGAGAGGAUGAUCAGUCACACUGGAACUGAGACACGGUCCAGACUCCUACGGGAGGCAGCAGUAGGGAAUAUUGCGCAAUGGGGGAAACCCUGACGCAGCAACGCCGCGUGGAGGAUGACACUUUUCGGAGCGUAAACUCCUUUUCUUAGGGAAGAAUUCUGACGGUACCUAAGGAAUAAGCACCGGCUAACUCCGUGCCAGCAGCCGCGGUAAUACGGAGGGUGCAAGCGUUACUCGGAAUCACUGGGCGUAAAGGGCGCGUAGGCGGAUUAUCAAGUCUCUUGUGAAAUCUAAUGGCUUAACCAUUAAACUGCUUGGGAAACUGAUAGUCUAGAGUGAGGGAGAGGCAGAUGGAAUUGGUGGUGUAGGGGUAAAAUCCGUAGAUAUCACCAAGAAUACCCAUUG